AUAAUGGAUAGCAUGAGAUUCCUAGCUAAAGAUCCCGAGAGAAGAAGUAAAUGGAUUGCUUCCAUAAAACGUGCUAGAAGCAGACGGAACCAAACCGAGCCAUGGGAGCCCACAAACAAUGGAUUUCGGUUAUGCUGUGACCACUUCAUAUCAGAGAAAAAGAGUGACAACCCUCUGUCACCUGACUACGUUCCUUCAAUCUUCAAUCAUGUUCCAUCCCCGGAGAAGA